CCUUUUUGUUAGAAAUAAUAAUAUUUAAAGUUUUUUACUUUCUCCAUUUAACACAAUAAACUUUUUAUAUAUACGUAGCAGUAAAUCAAGAAGAAUUUUAUAUUUCGUUGUGUAAAACGAAAUCCAGGUGACGGAAAAGUAGAGAGAUGUGUAGCAGGCCAGGAAGGAGACCAAGUUUUUUCACCUUCACGGAGGAUCGAGAAUGAUUUAAAAUCAUCAGUGUACGAUUGAUUGGUCAAAAUAACAAAGAAGAAAAUGAUGCGAUGAUUAAAUUAAACGAAGGAUGAGUUCGAGUUAAUCGAUGAACGAAAACAGACACCGAUUUAAUUUACUCUUUCUCCAUCUCUCUCUCUGGGAUUGUUCCCACGGAACAGCGCUGCUAUGCUGAAUGAAUAAUGUUCUUGCAAGACGGUUUGUCAAAAAAAGAAAGAAAAAGCGUCAUCAGGAAACAGAGGUAAUGUCUCGCUCUUUUUCUACGCAACACAAUGAAUCAUGCUCACGCCACGAAUAUGCAAAACGUGAAAAAAAAGGAAAUCGAAUCACGAUCUACAUCUUUCGAAAAUUUCGCAAUUGGAAAUGCAUCAAAAUAAUAAAUGAUUCCCUCCCGUAAUUUCUAUUUCUCGAUCAGGCGAGGGAUUGUUAAAAAAAAUUCAAAAUUUAAUUUAUACGAUAAUUCGCGACACACGUGAUUCCAGUUCAAAGCCGUUCCUCUAUACUUUUUAUUUGAACAAGUCGCGCGAUCAGUUACUGCGAAAGCAAUUAUCGAUUAUCCGCAGGUAAUUUUCCAUUAACCGAAGGCAUCGACGAAAAAAGCAAUUUGAAAGGAAGCGUAGACAGACGAAACACUCUUUUCGAGAAUCCGUUAUUAUAAAUACACGAGACGACGAUUCAAUAUCAAGUGAAAUUAUCAAAUGAAAAUGCGCAUCCAAUGAAAUGAGUUUGAGUGAGUUUCGAGGGAUGAUCAAAGCGAGACGGCAUCGCCCUCUUUUGAGCGCUGUGGGAUAAAUUGGCGGGCGACGACUAAUCGUGGCGUGACUAAUCGGUGCACAUUGCAAAGAUCCUUUUCCUGUUCGACUAUCGGCCGUGCUUCAACGGAUUAUAUUGCAAAUAGUGAGAAAACAAUUCUCGAAUGGCGAACUCGUUUGCGAUGAUUUUGAAGAAUAAAAAUUGAAAUCAAAAUAAAAUGAUUGAUGUUCACGGUUGUAAGGUUAGGUAGCUCGAGUGAAAUAUUUCGAUGUAUCUACGAUGUGAAUACGUUGAAGGAAAGCUUAUUCUUUUCUUUUCAUUGAGUUUUUUAAACGGAAUUAUCCACGUCAUGUGGCAACAUCCGGGCAUACGGUCUCGAUUAAAAUGCGUUCUUGAAAACAAGUUCAUGCACUCGCGUGAAUAAUAACGGUAGCGUUAAUGAUAUCGUCUGUCUAUGAAAAUUCAAAUAUAUUUAACGUUUAUACACUCUCUCCUAUUCAUAAUUUUGCAAUUUACUUAAUCACAAUGGAGCAGGAAUAAUCCACUGUUUUCUUGUGAAACACUAUUUUUAUUAAUUUGAAAUAUUAACAAACAAUAGAUGUGCGUGGCGAAUAGGCAAAUAUUUGUUUCUCUAUUAAAUCCUGAAAUAUCAUUUUAUGACGGUAUGACAUUAACAUACGGCAUUGGUAUAAUUUUAGCAUA